UUUAUAUUUAUUCAGUUUGGAAUAUUUUCUUUAACAUGUAGUACAUUUAGGAGCAGGAUUUAAAAUACUUUCUAAAAAGCAUGCUGAAAUGUGAAGUAAAGUUUGUAUCAAGAUCAACAGGAAUAAAAAAUCUUAGAUAGCCAAGAACACUAGCUGUGCCCCAAGGCCCCGAGUAGCACCGGGCUGGCGAAGAGGUUCCUGCGCAAACGCCGCUGAGUUAUGGCGGCAUUUAGACGUGCGCCCAGACUGGCUUUAACUACUGCUGAAAGAAGAUUGCCCGCCGCAUUAGAUGGUUAGAGAUUGCGAGGACGGCAUUUCUUGAAAUUAUGACGUGCUGAGAAGGGCAUCUUGGUGCCGCGAUGAUUACUUGAUAAUUGUGAUACUGAAGCGGCAUCAGCAGCAAUUUUCAGACCGUUUAAUUGAAGAGCGAUAAAAGUUAACGAUGGCUCGCAGCGGAUUUCCAGCCAUGUGAUACAUUUCCGAUAAAAUAUGGAAUUGAAAACAUAUUUGAGAAUUUUAUUGAUUAUAUUUAUGUAUUCUGCAUUGGCAGUAAACCAAAAAUAUACUCUACCAAACUGUUUGCCAUUGAAAGAA